rnacentral:rRNA from 1 species
CGGGAACCGCAACGGUGAAACUCAAAGGAAUUGACGGGGCCGCGACAAGCGUGGAGCAUGUGGUUAAUUCGAAGCAACGCGAAGAACCUUACCAGGUCUUGACAUCCCGAUGCUAUUUCUAGAGAUAGAAGUUACUUCGGUACAUCGGUGACAGGUGGUGCAUGGUUGUCGUCAGCUCGUGUCGUGAGAUGUUGGGUUAAGUCCCGCAACGAGCGCAACCCCUAUUGUUAGUUGCCAUCAUUCAGUUGGGCACUCUAGCGAGACUGCCGGUAAUAAACCGGAGGAAGGUGGGGAUGACGUCAAAUCAUCAUGCCCCUUAUGACCUGGGCUACACACGUGCUACAAUGGUUGGUACAACGAGUUGCGAGUCGGUGGCGGCGAGCUAAUCUCUUAAAGCCAAUCUCAGUUCGGAUUGUAGGCUGCAACUCGCCUACAUGAAGUCGGAAUCGCUAGUAAUCGCGGAUCAGCACGCCGCGGUGAAUACGUUCCCGGGCCUUGUACACACCGCCCGUCACACGUCGACGCGGCCG